rnacentral:pre_miRNA from 1 species
GAAGUACUCCCUUCGUCCGGAAAUACUUGUCGAAGAAAUGCAUAAAAAUAAAUGUAUCUAGAAUUAAAAUACAUCUAGAUACAUCCAUUUCUCCGAUGAGUAUUUCCGGACGGAGGGAGUAGUAA